CUAAUUAAAAUGGAAAACCAUAUUGCGUUUGCUAUAGGCAAAUUGUUAGGGACAAGGGGAAAGCCAGUUCAUGAUAAACAAUGGCAACACCUAAGUGAACAAUUAAAUCAUUUGGACGGACCAUCGAAAGGUGUAGAAGGUUGGAAAAAACUUUAGUGCGAUCAGAGGAAUCAGGCUAGAAGUCGGGCGGCAAAAGCAAGAGCAGCGCAAAAGAUGACAGGCAACAUUAGUACUACAAUACAAUUGAAGAGCUUUGAUUUAAGAAUACUAUCAAUUUUUAGAGGUGAAUCCUGUGUAGGUUUGCCUAUAAUGGAAGUGGGACUUGGAGAGCGACCUGAGGAUAUUAUCGAUCCAUCAUCAGUUUUGGGACUAACAUCAAAUAAUCUUGCAGGACAAAAUAUUAAUACUGAAAAAGAAAAU